rnacentral:snoRNA from 1 species
AGACCAUGAUGAGGACACUUUAGGAGAAGGUCUUUGAAACGUUCCAUGCAUCAAGAAAAUGAUUCGUUGGGUCGCUGGCGAAACGAGAGAAUGUCAUUCCUAAGCUU